AAAAUCCAUUGCUUAAGAAUGACACAGUAAUUACCGCACGAUCAACUGAAGCACCUUCACAGCAUCAUGGCAGUGGAAAUGAUUUUGGAGGGAAUGGCUCAAGUGCAUUUCUCUGGCCAGACCUGGCAUCAGAGACACCAGAGUUACAGCUUAAUUUCCUAGAGCCUGACUUCAGAUGACAACUCCCAGAGGACGCCUUUGCUUUCAGAAAAUCUGGCUUUGGGCUGAAAAAUUCAGACUGGCAUUCAACUGCCCGGAUUUAGCACCACCUGGAGAAAUAGACUCUACAGCUAUCAAGAAACCAGGCUCAGUCUUUGCACCUACCUGUGUGACCUUGGGUAAGUGGUUUGAUUAAUUU